CAAAGGGCUGGCGUGGGACGCGCCCCAGGUCGGACCGCAGCCCACGGCAGUGCAAGGCUACCGGUGCGCGGCAAAGGAAGGGGUUCCACGGGCGCCCUUAACGCUCACGCUGGGGAAGGAGGUGCAGGAAACGAAAGAAGCAGGGAGGAGACGGAGAAGUGCUGCAGCAGCUUGAGUCGGCAAGUUGAGAGAAGUGAAAGCAGUCCAGGUUAGGCGGAACGCGAAGAAGGGCUGGAGGAGCGGCCCAAGGUAAAAGAUCCAGCCGCAGACGAAAGCGGUAACUGGAUUAGGAGGGCCCUAUUAAGCGAAUUUAAGGAGAUAGGACUUUAUCCCGAGAGCAACAGAGAGCCCAUAAAAGAUCGUAAACAGGAGUGACACGAACAGAUUUACAUUAAAAUAAAGCAUCUGACUGGCUGUGCUGUCGAGACAGGGGAGGGGCAAGGGCGGAGGCGGAGAGAGCGGUGAGCGGUCGCCGGAGGUCCAGGUGGGAGACGCCGCGCCCCGCACCGAGGUAUGAGAGCUGCAGCAGCGACAACCAGGCGGCCUGAAGUGCAGACGCAAAACGGAUCCCGGGGCUAGGUGAAUUGGGGUAGGGGGAUAAUGACCAGAUUGUAGUGUUGUCUUUGCUGAGACAGGAAACACGCGAGGCUUGUAGGGAAGGUGCCCAGCUCCGCUGAGAACACCUAGAUUUUGAGAUUUCUGUGGCACCCAAGUUAAAUAUGCCUGGACUUCAGGACACGGGGGUUCCGAAAGCAGGAUGACGCGCCCGGAGGGGACGAGACGGUCCAGAGCACGCCCGGGAGAGAGGGCGGCCCAGACGGCACCGGCCUGCGCUCCAGCCCUCCCUCCCUCACACACGCGGAAUCUCAAAACAUGCGGUGAGACAGCGCCUUGCCAUAUUACCCAGGCUAAGUGUGGAACUCCUGGGCUCAAGUGAUCCUCCCGCCUUGGCCUCCCAACGUGUUGGGAUUACCGGCAUGAGCAACCACACCCAGCCUUCUGUGCUCUUUUGAACAGACCCUUGGCAUGGAUAGUGGGUGCAUGGGUAAGUCUUUCCACUUCCUGUCUCUCUGUUACCUUUCCCCCUCUUUUUCUUCCUUCAGACCUAUUGCUCCAUAGAACUCUAUACCUACUGGCUGUGUUUACGGCAUCUAAUGUGUUAGUCCCCGAAGAUGUGUUAGCAUACUCAGUCACUCAAUUGUUGGCUGAAUGCCUACAAAUCACCCAAACCUUCAGAAGAUGGAGAAGGGAGGAGGAACCAAGAGGGCAAGACAGGAAUGUUGGAGGUUCAUUAGCGUGGCUGAGAUGAAGGACUGUGUUUUUAAAAUUUUCUUUUGCCUCUCUUCUUCAGUCUAUACCUUUGGCUGAGAGCUGGCACAUCGCUAAUGGCAAUCAAGGCUAACGGGUCACUACCCCUUACAGUUCCUGUGGUCUCUCUCUUUAGGCACUGGUUCUGUAGUUUGUGGCCAUUAGAGCGCUCAUCUGUAGCUCUGCCGAAGACAGGAGAAAAAAGAGUGUAGUCAGUCUCAGAUCAAUCCCAGUUGUUGCUUGUUUACAGUGCCUAUAUAAGGAGGGUUAAGAAGUUAGAAAUAAAAUUAUUCUGAAGGGGAUGAUUUGUGACUUAUUAAUCCAUGUGAUUUUCGAUGCUCAUUAUCACUGAAAAUUGAGUUGGCUAAGUCUGUUUAACUUUUGUGAUUAAGGAUCAGUGUGAGGAUUUGAUGUUUGGGCUGAGAGGCAGAAAAAGAUUGUAUGCACACAUCCUCCCACUUAGCACUUAGUUCUCUUUAUCUUUGGCCAACAACUGGUUCUCUAGCUCCUGUACAGUGAAGUGACAUCUAGGGAACAGCAUGGAGGAAGGGACAGCAGCUGGCAAGCCCGACCUAUCGAGUCACUCUGCCAUCGGGGUAACAGGCAUGGCUGUGCCCAGUGUCUUAACAUCCGAGGUGCCCCAGGGGCAGUGGAGACACCUCUUCAGGCCCUACUAAAGAGAACCACCUGGCCUCUUAUUAGCUAAUG
rnacentral:lncRNA from 10 species